UGUCCAGUAACUCCUGUCCCUACCCCCGCGUGGUACAGACUGUAAACUACGAGCAACCUUAGGGAAGAUCGGGUAACCCACCCCGGUGGGAACUUUGCUCGUAGGCUGACAGGGAAGG
rnacentral:ribozyme from 1 species